AAGUCGUAACAAGGUUUCCGUAGGUGAACCUGCGGAAGGAUCAUUAUCGAAUCGUAAGAACUUUGGCUGUCGCUGGCUCUCUCUCUCUGGGAGCAUGUGCACGCCGAGUUCAAACCUUUCACUUCAACCUCCUGUGCACUUUUGUGAAUCGCGGAUAGAUUAAUUCUGUCAAAGUAACAUUUGGUUUUGGGGUCUGCAUUAUCUCUGUAACGCUUUCCCCUACAAUUUCUCCGCGGUUCAUGUCUUUUUUACAAACUAUACAAUAAAUCUAGAAUGCUUAACAAGUUGGGAAACUUUUGUAACCCUUCUUAAAUUUUAUACAACUUUCAACAACGGAUCUCUUGGCUCUC
rnacentral:misc_RNA from 1 species